rnacentral:rRNA from 1 species
UACGUAGGGGGCAAGCGUUGUCCGGAAUCAUUGGGCGUAAAGAGCGCGUAGGCGGCCCGAUAAGUCCGCUGUGAAAGUCAAGGGCUCAACCCUUGAAUGCCGGUGGAUACUGUCGGGCUAGAGUCCGGAAGAGGCGAGUGGAAUUCCUGGUGUAGCGGUGAAAUGCGUAGAUAUUGGGAGGAACACCAGUGGCGAAGGCGGCUCACUGGACCGGAACUGACGCUGAGGCGCGAAAGCGUGGGGAGCAAACGGG